AGGGGCUUUCUCUUUUGAGGGGACUGUUGUCUGGCUCGAGGACUCUGGCUCGCUCUAUUCAUGUUGGAUCUCUUUCGAUCUAACAAUCGAAUUGAACCUUCAGAUUUCAGAUUUGAUUAGGGUUUUAGCGUCUUCGGACCAGGCUUCAUUCCCCCCAAUUGUUGCUCCCU
rnacentral:pre_miRNA from 1 species